UACGAAGGGGGCUAGCGUUGCUCGGAAUCACUGGGCGUAAAGCGCACGUAGGCGGAUUGCUAAGUCAGGGGUGAAAUCCUGGAGCUCAACUCCAGAACUGCCUUUGAUACUGGCGACCUUGAGUCCGGGAGAGGUGAGUGGAACUGCGAGUGUAGAGGUGAAAUUCGUAGAUAUUCGCAAGAACACCGGUGGCGAAGGCGGCAUCCUGGACCAAUAUUGACGCUGAGGUGCGAAAGCGUGGGGAGCAAACAGG
rnacentral:rRNA from 1 species